UCUCUGUUAGUAUAUCGGUUAGUACACGCGCCUGUCAUCGCAUAUCAUGUUAUUGGCCGCGCGAAAGCUGGGUUCGACUCCCAGACAGAGAG